GAGAAAGAGAGGACCAAGAAAGAGAGGGAGAAAACCGUAAGAAGAACUAAGAAGAGAAGAAAAAGAAUUCAAGUUUUGCGCCGGAAUUGAAGGAAUAACUUAAGAGACUCAACAAAUUAAUGUUCUAGGGUCAACUACAAGGGUAAACCAGGCAUCUAAACACUGUGUAGGUGAGAAAUUGGAGGAUCAACCUUAGAGUUCGCCCAGGAGUUCGCCUCUUUGUCAAGCCACCCAAGAGUGCCUCUGUGUAGAGGCUUUGUUCUGUUCUGUUUUGUCAAGCUUGGGUUAAUAUUUGUAUUUUGUUAAAAGUCCUCCAUGUAGUGUGUGAGAUAUAAAAUAUGUCUUCGUACAUGUAUAUAUGUAAGUGCGUUAAGAAUGUUUUAAUUACUGCAGUUGAUCAUGUACG